CAAGAUUCCAUUUCACUUUGCCUACAAGCCACUCUGAAACUUGCUCAUCCGUCACUCAGCAGGUGAAACAAUCAUGUCCAGGCUUCUACGAGUUACCCUGACUCUGGCCAUGUGUCUGCUCAUCUUAGCCAUGCUGAUGCCCAGCGCCGAUGCCUGUACCAUCGCGCCCCCGACCAUCCAUAUAAAGCCGCCAAGCGAACUUGUCAAGAACUUAGUUUCAGCGGCGACUUCACAAGGAGAAAACCUGAUGAAUGAUGUCUGAUAACAUUUAACGCCACAAUGAGAUGACAUAGCUAAAAUAUUCAAAUUAUGAAAAUAAAGUUCUUCAUGGGCAAACCUCCAUGUAAA